CCGAGAUCAAAGGAACGAUAUCGACCCAACAAACGAUCGAGAAUCACGACGAGGUGAGCAGCGAUGAUGCUCGCGAUUAACUUCGUCAUCGGACUGCUGCCAUGGACGCGACUCCCAGGCCCGCGCGAAUAGGGCUGCUGGUAGUCGAUUAAAAGACGCACGAGGUGGAACGUCGACAGGUAUCGAUCCGCGCGCAUCUCGAUCGAAAGUUCUUCGAGCCGUGUCACGAGGAGAGCAUCGUACGACGAUGAUAUGGCACAAGAUCUCCCUUCAUCCUUUCCGCAAGGGCUCGGUCUUAGCUGUUCAUCACGGUGGAUCGCCUGGAGUAGCCUCGUCUCGUCACCGUUUCACCCUGAGCCUCGCACUCCCUCUUCACCCGAUCGAUAAUGUCCGCCACCAGUUUCUCUUCUUUUUCCCUCUGCUGCUCCCAGUCUGGCCCUUUCCCGAUCUGUCGGGGCACGUUUCACAUAUUUUCGCCCUUACUCUCUAUCUCUCGAUCGAGUGAUCACGAAUGAUGCGCAAGGAAGCGGACGGAAGCUGGCGAGCAGCAAAAGCCCUUCCUUUUCUCCCUUUAAACCUUUCUCGAGCACAGGUGUGUAAAGCUCCACUUUUUUUUUUUUUUCAAAUUUUAUUUCGUUCGAAAGAAGGGCUUCCACCUGCUUAUGGAAAUGCCAGCAGAAGGGAAAGCGGGGUGAUGCUGAAGCGGGGGUAAUCGCGCGACUAGCGAGGGGAUGUGUUCAAUUCAACGCCUCGGAUCUUAAUGGAAAGUAUUUUGAAUGCCCGUCGCUGCACGCGACACAGGGUAAGACUUACGUCGGAGGUCUUGCGGACCUUCUUGUUCGCCGGCUCCUCUCUGUUCUCGUCGUUCUCGUUGUCGGAAUGCCGCGAGCUGAGGUGACCGAUGUAACCCUUGCGGGACUUGAAGUAAGCGUUACAGCUGUGGCACUUGAAGAGCGGCGCCGGCUGGCUGACCUGGGUAGGCACGUGCAGUUUGUACUUGUGCCUGUACCAACGGGUUCGAGACGGUAGCACCUCGCCGCACCACUUGCAGACUACGGAACCGUCGUUUUGAAUCAGGUACCCGUAAAACGAGAUCAACGUUCUCUUUUCGUGGCGCAGAUGAAGGAUGCACCGACAGAAAAGGUGUCACCUAAGAUAAACGACGUAAAAAUAAGAUCAACUUCCUCGCGCGCAAUUAUACACUGAGAAAGUACGGUUCAACGAACUACGCGCGUAAAGCUAGCGGCGCUCUAAUGAAAGAGAUACGAAGGGCAAACCAGAUAAGAGUUGCGCACCGGCUGAUAAAGGAUUAAUUUGCCAAAUGAACGUUUCUUAGGGUGCUUUCCAUUCGGUUGGCACGAAGUAAGAAACUUUUCAUCGAUCAAGGUGUCGGAUCAUCUCGAUCAAUUUAUUUCUAAGCAACAAAUACUUUGGUCAAAAUAUUUUUAUCUUACAAAUAAAUGUUAUCUUACAAAAAUAA